GACGUAGGUGGCGAACGUUAUCCGGAAUUAUUGGGCGUAAAGGGUGCGUAGGCGGCAUGAUAAGUUAUUGGCGGGAAAUCGAGGCUCAACCUCGUGGAAACUAAUAAUACUGUUUUGCUUGAGUACAGGAGAGGUUAACGGAACUCCAUGUGGAGCGGUAAAAUGUGUAGAUAUAUGGAAGAACAUCAAUAACGGCGAAGGCAGUUAACUAUUCUGUUACUGACGUUGAGGCACGAAAGCGUGGGGAACAAAACGG
rnacentral:rRNA from 1 species